rnacentral:tRNA from 1 species
GCCCGGUUAGCUCAGCCGGUAGAGCGUUGGACUUUUAAUCCAACGGUCAAAGGUUCA